CCCAGACUCCUACGGGAGGCAGCAGUCGGGAAUAUUGCGCAAUGGAGGAAACUCUGGCGCAGUGACGCCGUGUAUAGGAAGAAGGUUUUCGGAUUGUAAACUAUUGUCGUUAGGGAAGAUAAAAGACAGUACCUAAGGAGGAAGCUCCGGCUAACUACGUGCCAGCAGCCGCGGUAAUACGUAGGGAGCAAGCGUUAUCCGGAUUUAUUGGGUGUAAAGGGUGCGUAGACGGGAAAUUAAGUUAGUUGUGAAAUCCCUCGGCUCAACUGAGGAACUGCAACUAAAACUGAUUUUCUUGAGUGCAGGAGAGGUAAGUGGAAUUCCUAGUGUAGCGGUGAAAUGCGUAGAUAUUAGGAGGAACACCAGUGGCGAAGGCGGCUUUCUGGACUGUAACUGACACUGAGGUACGAAAGCGUGGGGAGCAAACAGGAUUAGAUACCCCAGUA
rnacentral:rRNA from 1 species